rnacentral:rRNA from 1 species
AUUGAACGCUGGCGGCAGGCCUAACACAUGCAAGUCGAGCGAGCGGCGGACGGGUGAGUAAUGUAUGGGGACUGCCCGAUAGAGGGGGAUAACUACUGGAAACGGUGGCUAAUACCGCAUACUAUCGGAUAACCCAUAUGGGAUUAGCUAGUAGGUGGGGUAAAGGCUCACCUAGGCGACGAGCGCUAGCUGGUCGGAGGGGAUGAGCAGCCACACUGGGACUGAGACACGGACAAGGCUCCUACGGAGGCAGCAGGGGGGAAUAUGGCACAAUGGGCGCAAGCCUGAUGCAGCCAUGCAGAGUGUAUGAAGAAGGCCUUAGGGUUGUAAAGUCCUUUCAGCGGGGAGGCGGUACCCGCAGAAGAAGCACCGGCUAACUCCGUGCCAGCAGCCGCGGUAAUUC